rnacentral:rRNA from 1 species
CACGUAGGAGGCGAGCGUUGUCCGGAAUCAUUGGGCGUAAAGAGCGCGCAGGCGGCUUGGCAAGUCGGGUGUGAAAUCCCGGGGCUCAACCCCCGGGACUGCAUUCGAUACUGUCAGGCUAGAGGUAGGUAGGGGAGAUCGGAAUUCCUGGUGUAGCGGUGAAAUGCGCAGAUAUCAGGAGGAACACCGGUGGCGAAGGCGGAUCUCUGGGCCUUACCUGACGCUCAUGCACGAAAGCGUGGGGAGCAAACAGG